UGUUGGUGAUGUGGGCAAUCUCUGAGAGGAGACUUGAAUCUCUCCCAUGCAUAAUAGAGAUUUUUGUCCGCCUUCUGCUUGAAACUUAGGAUCUCACUCCUCAACCU
rfam:Capsicum annuum cultivar Zunla-1 chromosome 6, whole genome shotgun sequence